GAUGAACGCUGGCGGCGUGCCUAAUACAUGCAAGUCGAGCGAACGGACGAGAAGCUUGCUUCUCUGAUGUUAGCGGCGGACGGGUGAGUAACACGUGGAUAACCUACCUAUAAGACUGGGAUAACUUCGGGAAACCGGAGCUAAUACCGGAUAAUAUUUUGAACCGCAUGGUUCAAAAGUGAAAGACGGUCUUGCUGUCACUUAUAGAUGGAUCCGCGCUGCAUUAGCUAGUUGGUAAGGUAACGGCUUACCAAGGCAACGAUGCAUAGCCGACCUGAGAGGGUGAUCGGCCACACUGGAACUGAGACACGGUCCAGACUCCUACGGGAGGCAGCAGUAGGGAAUCUUCCGCGAUGGGCGAAAGCCUGACGGAGCAACGCCGCGUGAGUGAUGAAGGUCUUCGGAUCGUAAAACUCUGUUAUUAGGGAAGAACAUAUGUGUAAGUAACUGUGCACAUCUUGACGGUACCUAAUCAGAAAGCCACGGCUAACUACGUGCCAGCAGCCGCGGUAAUACGUAGGUGGCAAGCGUUAUCCGGAAUUAUUGGGCGUAAAGCGCGCGUAGGCGGUUUUUUAAGUCUGAUGUGAAAGCCCACGGCUCAACCGUGGAGGGUCAUUGGAAACUGGAAAACUUGAGUGCAGAAGAGGAAAGUGGAAUUCCAUGUGUAGCGGUGAAAUGCGCAGAGAUAUGGAGGAACACCAGUGGCGAAGGCGACUUUCUGGUCUGUAACUGACGCUGAUGUGCGAAAGCGUGGGGAUCAAACAGGAUUAGAUACCCUGGUAGUCCACGCCGUAAACGAUGAGUGCUAAGUGUUAGGGGGUUUCCGCCCCUUAGUGCUGCAGCUAACGCAUUAAGCACUCCGCCUGGGGAGUACGACCGCAAGGUUGAAACUCAAGGGAAUUGACGGGGACCCGCACAAGCGGCGGAGCAUGUGGUUUAAUUCGAAGCAACGCGAAGAACCUUACCAAAUCUUGACAUCCUUUGACAACUCUAGAGAUAGAGCUUUCCCCUUCGGGGGACAAAGUGACAGGUGGUGCAUGGUUGUCGUCAGCUCGUGUCGUGAGAUGUUGGGUUAAGUCCCGCAACGAGCGCAACCCUUAAGCUUAGUUGCCAUCAUUAAGUUGGGCACUCUAAGUUGACUGCCGGUGACAAACCGGAGGAAGGUGGGGAUGACGUCAAAUCAUCAUGCCCCUUAUGAUUUGGGCUACACACGUGCUACAAUGGACAAUACAAAGGGCAGCGAAACCGCGAGGUCAAGCAAAUCCCAUAAAGUUGUUCUCAGUUCGGAUUGUAGUCUGCAACUCGACUACAUGAAGCUGGAAUCGCUAGUAAUCGUAGAUCAGCAUGCUACGGUGAAUACGUUCCCGGGUCU
rnacentral:rRNA from 1 species